GACGAACGCUGGCGGCGUGCUUAACACAUGCAAGUCGAACGGAGAAGCUCUACCGUGGUGGAGUGCACCAGUGGCGAACGGGUGAGUAACACGUGAGAAACCUGCCCUUGACUCUGGGAUAACGGCUGGAAACGGCGGCUAAUACUGGAUACGAGCACGGUCUGCAUGGGAACUUUUGGGAAUGUUUUUCGGUUGGGGAUGGGCGCGCGGCCUAUCAGCUUGUUGGUGUGGUAGUGGCUCGCCAAGGCGACGACGGUUAGCCGGCCUGAGAGGGCGACCGGCCACACUGGGACUGAGAAAGGGCCCAGACUCCUACGGGAGGCAGAAGUGGGGAAUAUUGCACAAUGGGCGGAAGCCGUAUGCAGCGACGCCGCGUGAGGGAUGACGGCCUUCGGGUUGUAAACCGCUUUCGGCUGGGAAGAAGCGAAAGUGACGGUACCUGCAGAAGAAGCACCGGCUAACUACGUG
rnacentral:rRNA from 1 species